GCCGGGAUGGCCCACGCCGCGAUGUGGAAGUACGAGCUGUGCAUCUCGAUGGCCUCGUGGCCCCACUUGAGCCCGGCAGCCAGGAACCAGAGCGAGGACGCCAUGCCAAAGAAGUAGAGCAGGAGGAAGACGAUGGCGCAGCUGGUGCUCUUCAGUCCCUCCUGGACCAGGAUGGGCACGGCGGUGGCGUCCAGGUCACAUGACACGCGCUCCCGGCCCAGAGUCAGCCGCACCUGAGGACGGAGAGAACGGAGAAAAGAGAACAAGACUGGGAUUAGAAGAAAGAAGUAUUAAAUAAAGUAAAGUGUUCCAUCCCGCCUAGCAA